ensembl:lncRNA
CUUCACUGAAGAGCUACAUUACGAGCAGAUCAAGACAGUGCUCACAAUGUCAUAACCUUCCAAACCUUAUUUAAAGCCAUAGUUAAGCACAGUGAAUACUUCAGCUUUUAAGGCAAAAGAGCAAACCAAGGACUGCAGUCUUGAAAUAAAACUUUCAGUCACUUCCACCUGAGAUUUCUUAAAUGAAAUUUGCCAAUUGUACCACUUGGGCAAAUCAACCUACCAACCACAGGAAAAUCGGAGGGCAUAUGAGAACUGUGGAACACAUAGAACACAAGAAGCUGUAUUGAAAAGACAAAGGACAAUGGGUACAAGGUGCACCAAGAGAGGUUCUGACUGAACAUGGAAGUGAGAAGUGCCCAAUCCAG